rnacentral:rRNA from 1 species
CCUACGGGAGGCAGCAGUGAGGAAUAUUGGUCAAUGGCCGGGAGGCUGAACCAGCCAAGUCGCGUGAGGGAAGACGGCCCUACGGGUUGUAAACCUCUUUUGUCAGGGAGCAAUUGGGUCCACGCGUGGGCUUAGCGAGAGUACCUGAAGAAAAAGCAUCGGCUAACUCCGUGCCAGCAGCCGCGGUAAUACGGAGGAUGCGAGCGUUAUCCGGAUUUAUUGGGUUUAAAGGGUGCGUAGGCGGAAUAUCAAGUCAGCGGUAAAAAUUCGGGGCUCAACCCCGUCGUGCCGUUGAAACUGAUGGUCUUGAGUGGGCGAGAAGUAUGCGGAAUGCGUGGUGUAGCGGUGAAAUGCAUAGAUAUCACGCAGAACUCCGAUUGCGAAGGCAGCAUACCGGCGCCCAACUGACGCUGAAGCACGAAAGCGUGGGUAUCGAACAGGAUUAGAUACCCCGGUAGUC